UGCUCCAGUACAGGGCAAUGC
rnacentral:misc_RNA from 1 species